rnacentral:rRNA from 1 species
AGCGAACGCUGGCGGCAGGCCUAACACAUGCAAGUCGAACGGACCUUUCGGGGUUAGUGGCGGACGGGUGAGUAACACGUGGGAACGUGCCUUUAGGUUCGGAAUAAGCUCGGGAAACUGGGUCUAAUACCGAAUGUGCCCUUCGGGGGAAAGAUUUAUCGCCUUUAGAGCGGCCCGCGUCUGAUUAGAUAGUUGGCGGGGUAACGGCCCACCAAGUCUACGAUCAGUAGCUGAUGUGAGAGCAUGAUCAGCCACACGGGCACUGAGACACGGGCCCGACUCCUACGGGAGGCAGCAGUAAGGAAUAUUGGUCAAUGGACGCAAGUCUGAACCAGCCAUGCCGCGUGAAGGAUUAAGGGUCCCUCUGGAUUGUAAACUUCUUUUAUUUGGGACGAAAAAGGGCCUUUCUAGGUCAACUGACGGUACCAGAUGAAUAAGCACCGGCUAACUCCGUG